rnacentral:rRNA from 1 species
AUUGAACGCUGGCGGCAUGCCUUACACAUGCAAGUCGAACGGCAGCGCGGACUUCGGUCUGGCGGCGAGUGGCGAACGGGUGAGUAAUACAUCGGAACGUACCCUGUUGUGGGGGAUAACUAGUCGAAAGAUUAGCUAAUACCGCAUACGACCUGAGGGUGAAAGUGGGGGACCGCAAGGCCUCACGCAGCAGGAGCGGCCGAUGUCUGAUUAGCUAGUUGGAGGGGUAAAGGCCCACCAAGGCGACGAUCAGUAGCUGGUCUGAGAGGACGAUCAGCCACACUGGGACUGAGACACGGCCCAGACUCCUACGGGAGGCAGCAGUGGGGAAUUUUGGACAAUGGGGGCAACCCUGAUCCAGCAAUGCCGCGUGUGUGAAGAAGGCCUUCGAGUUGUAAAGCACUUUUGUCCGGAAAGAAAUCGCGCUGGUUAAUACCUGGCGUGGAUGACGGUACCGGAAGAAUAAGCACCGGCUAACUACGUGCCAGCAGCCGCCGUAA